UUACCAGCUACAAUGGCUUGAAAAUCCUUCGGGCCAAGGUGCUGCAUGGUUGUCGUCAGCUCGUGCCGUGAGGUGUUGGGUUAAGUCCCGCAACGAGCGCAACCCUAUUCUAGUUGCCAGCAUAUGGGACUCUAGGAGACUGCCUGCGCAACAGGAGGAAGGUGGGGAUGACGUCAAAUCAUCAUGGCCCUUACGCUGGGCGACACACGUGCUACAAUGGGGUACAUGGGGCACGGUGACGGAAGCAAUCUCUAAACCUUCUCAGUUCGGAUUGGAGUCUGCAACUCGACUCCAUGAAGUCGGAAUCGCUAGUAAUCGCAAUCAGCAUGUGCGGUGAAUACGUUCCCGGGCCUUGUACACACCGCCCGUCAAGCCAUGGAAGCCGAGGACCGAA
rnacentral:rRNA from 1 species